UGUUGAUGAUGACGAUGAUGAUGAUGAUGAUGAUGAUGAUGAUGAUGAUUACGAUGACGAUGACGACGAUGAUGAUGAUGAUGAUCAUCAUCAUCAUCAGCAGCAGCAGCAUCAUCAUCUAUA
rnacentral:pre_miRNA from 1 species